GACGAACGCUGGCGGCGUGCUUAACACAUGCAAGUCGAACGGACAGACCCUGCUUUUGCUCGUUGCUCGUUUGGCGAACGGGUGUGUAACACGCGAGUAUCCCCCCCUUGUCUUUCUGAUAACUCCAGGAAACUCGGGCUCAUACCGCAUAUGAUCUCCUGCUCCACGGUGUUGGUUGGAAAGUUUCGGCUGUUUGGGACGGACUCGCGGCUUAUCGGCUUGUUUGUCGGGUAGUGGCUUACCAAGGCUGCGACGGGUAGCCGGCCUGAGAGGGGUACCGGCCACAAUGGGACUAAGGUACGGACCAGACUGCUACGGGAGGCAGCAGUGGGGAAUAUUGCAGAAUGGGCGGAAGCCUGAUGCAGCAGCGCCGGGUGCGGGAUGACGGCCUUCGGGUGGUAAACAGCUUUCGCCGGUGACGAAGCGGGAGUGACGGUAAUGGGUAAAGAAGCACCGGCUAACUACGUG
rnacentral:rRNA from 1 species